rnacentral:misc_RNA from 1 species
GAAAUGCGAUAAGUAGUGUGAAUUGCAGAAUUCAGUGAAUCAUCGAAUCUUUGAACGCACAUUGCGCCCCUUGGUAUUCCAUGGGGCAUGCCUGUUCGAGCGUCAUUUGUACCCUCAAGCUCUGCUUGGUGUUGGGUGUUUGUCCCCGUCUCCGCGCGUGGACUCGCCCUAAAGUGAUUGGCAGCCGGCGUACUGGUCCCGGAGCGCAGCACAUGUCGCGCAAACGAGUGCCUUGGUACGGCGGCGUCCAUAAGCCCCUCUCUCACGCUCUUGACCUCGGAUCAGGUAGGGAUACCCGCUGAACUUAAGC